rnacentral:rRNA from 1 species
UAAGCAUAUCAAUAAGCGGAGGAAAAGAAACCAACCGGGAUUGCCUUAGUAACGGCGAGUCAAGCGGCAAAAGCUCAAAUUUGAAAUCUGGCGUCUUCGACGUCCGAGUUGUAAUUUGAAGAAGGUAACUUUGUAGCUGGUCCUUGUCUAUGUUCCUUGGAACAGGACGUCAUAGAGGGUGAGAAUCCCGUGUGGCGAGGAUCCCAGUUAUUUGUAAAGUGCUUUCGACGAGUCGAGUUGUUUGGGAAUGCAGCUCUAAGUGGGUGGUAAAUUCCAUCUAAAGCUAAAUAUUGGCGAGAGACCGAUAGCGAACAAGUACAGUGAUGGAAAGAUGAAAAGAACUUUGAAAAGAGAGUGAAAAAGUACGUGAAAUUGUUGAAAGGGAAGGGCAUUUGAUCAGACAUGGCGUUUGCUUCGGCUUUCGCUGGGCCAGCAUCAGUUUUAGCGGUUGGAUAAAUCCUCGGGAAUGUGGCUCUGCUUCGGUAGAGUGUUAUAGCCCGUGGGAAUACAGCCAGCUGGGACUGAGGAUUGCGACUUUUGUCAAGGAUGCUGGCGUAAUGGUUAAAUGCCGCCCG